UACGUAGGUGGCAAGCGUUGUCCGGAAUUAUUUGGGCGUAAAGCGCGCGCAGGUGGUUUCUUAAGUCUGAUGUGAAAGCCCACGGCUCAACCGUGGAGGGUCAUUGGAAACUGGAGAACUUGAGUGCAGAAGAGGAAAGUGGAAUUCCAAGUGUAGCGGUGAAAUGCGUAGAGAUUUGGAGGAACACCAGUGGCGAAGGCGACUUUCUGGUCU
rnacentral:rRNA from 1 species